rnacentral:rRNA from 1 species
AUUGAACGCUGGCGGCAGGCCUAACACAUGCAAGUCGAGCGAGAGGCGGACGGGUGAGUAAUGUCUGGGAAACAGCCUGAUGGAGGGGGAGAAAUCCUGGAAACGGUAGCUAAUACCGCAUACGCUCAGAGGUGUCCAGAUGGGAUUAGCUAGUAGGUGGGGUAACGGCUCACCUAGGGGACGAUCCCUAGCUGGUCUGAGAGGAUGUUCAGCCACACUGGAACUGAGACACGGUCCAGACUCCUACGGGAGGCAGCAGUGGGGAAUAUUGCACAAUGGGCGCAAGCCUGAUGCAGCCAUGCCGCGUGUGUGAAGAAGGCCUUCGGGUUGUAAAGCACUUUCAGCGGGGAGGCGUUACCCGCAGAAGAAGCACCGGCUAACUCCGUGCCAGCAGCCGCGGUAAUAC